UUUUUUUUAUUUUUUGUCAUUUGCAGAAACGCUGAUUAUAUUUUUUCUUUAUGCCACUUGUGGUCACCCUCGAAUGGCAGUAAUCUGUAGAUUACAUAUUACGAGCCUUGUCAUUACGUGGAUAAAAUGAGGUGGUUAAACGCUGAAAUCCAUUUUACUCACCACAUUUGCUUGGGGGGAGAGUUGUGGGGGGGAACAAACUUACUGGAGAAGGAUUUAAAGCCCUUGCACCUGAACUGGAUGUGCCCUCGCUUCUGCUGCUUAGAGACUUCCCUGCCUGGUGGAUACCUGGCUGGAGACCCCCCAGACUUCACCUCGAAGCCCGUGUGCUCCAGCCCUCGCUUUCCCCUCGAGGCUUUUGUCCCCAUUUUCGUGGUGUCUCAGCAUUGCUCCACAGAGGCGACUUUGCUGUGCCUCCCUAGGUUUUGCUCCCUAGCAUUUCUAGGCUCCUACUCGCCAGCUCUCCCCCCAUUUGCCGCUUUCAUGUGUCUCCCUGAUCCCUCUCCAGCUGAUGUGGUUCUUUAGAAAUGUGGGUUUUAUCCCAUCCCUACCUUUGCCGGGACUGAUUAGAUAUUAUUUUUUCAUUGGCUCUGCUACAAUGGGUUCCUCCCUUUAAUCUCUCGAUAUAUUUUCCCCCUCCCGGUAUAACCAAAUCCAUGAAAUUCGCAGCCUCUCUCUUUGACACGACUGGCUCGUCUAAUCACUCCAUAUCGAUUUCCCUAACUCUUUUCAUCCAGCUGAAGACACAUCUUAAAACACUCCAAGCCAGAGUGUGCUCUUUGCUUUAUACACACUAAUAAAAUGAUUUACCCUUCUCUCUCUGCUCUCCUCACAGGAGAAAAUCGUUCAAGCCGCGGCUAUUUGUGUGUGAUCAGUAAAUAUUUAGUGUGGCGACAUCUUCAGCUCCUCUCCUGAUCAAUACCCAACCCAACAGGAGGUGGACUAUUGUCCGGGUAGUGACUUGCUGAGAUCUCCUUUAGAUGAAUUCUUUGCCCCUCAUACAGUCUGUUAUGAUUUGUCCUCGAAGGGUAACCAGUAAAGAGAAAUUGAGGCUUUAUAAAUGGCGGUUUCUAACCUGUUUACCGUGACAUUAAAGCACCUAAGCGAGGAAUGGGUUAUUCCUCCCC
rnacentral:lncRNA from 1 species